rnacentral:rRNA from 1 species
CCAAGCGAAAGCGUUAAGCAUCCCACUUGGGGAGUACGCCGGCAACGGUGAAACUCAAAGGAAUUGACGGGGGCCCGCACAAGCGGAGGAACAUGUGGUUUAAUUCGAUGAUACGCGAGGAACCUUACCCGGGCUUGAAUUGCAGAGGAAAGAUCCAGAGAUGGUGAUGCCCUUCGGGGUCUCUGUGAAGGUGCUGCAUGGUUGUCGUCAGCUCGUGCCGUGAGGUGUCGGCUUAAGUGCCAUAACGAGCGCAACCCCUUUCCCUAGUUGCCAUCGGUUUUGGCCGGGCACUCUGGGGACACUGCCUCCGCAAGGAGUGAGGAAGGUGGGGAUGACGUCAAAUCAGCACGGCCCUUACGUCCGGGGCUACACACGUGUUACAAUGGGUGAUACAGAGGGCCGGCCGCUGGCAACAUCGGUCCAAUCCUUAAAGUCAUCCUCAGUUCGGACUGGGGUCUGCAACCCGACCCCACGAAGCUGGAUUCGCUAGUAAUCGCGCAUCAGCCAUGGCGCGGUGAAUACGUUCCCGGGCCUUGUACACACCGCCCGUCAAGCCAUGAAAGCCGGGGGCGCCUGAAGUCCGUGACCGCGAGGGUCGGCCUAGGGUGAAACCGGUGAUUGGGGCUAAGUCGUAACAAGGUAACCGU